AGGAGCGUAGCUCAGAUGGUAGAGCACUCACUUAGCAUGCGAGACAUUCGGAGAUCGAUACCCCACGCUUCCA